AUGGUAAGCCAGGUCAUGUACUCUGUGGAUUCUGAUGCAGAAAGUAGAGGAUCCUCUCCAACUGAAUCUCUCCAAACAUCUGAACCCACUAUAUCUGAUGUAGGCAAUCUAUUGAGUGGCAAGUCCUCCCCUCGGCUGUCUCCUUCUGGCACCAUUAUGGCAACAAGCGAGACCUCCAAUGCAGCACAAAUCUUGAAGGCCAACAUUGAUGGAGAGGAAGUGGAUACCACCAGUCAUUCUGGUGUAGCUCAAAACAUUGUCAGGGACGAUAUGUCAACCAGCCCAGACAUGGUCAAAGAUGUCACACUUCCAACCCCAUCCUCUGAUAACUUGGGCAGUGAUGAUGACGUCACCUGCCUCAUCAGCAUGUUAGUAAUGAGAAUUCUAACAGAAAUCCAAACCCCAGCAGAAGAUUACCCAGUUGACGUCACACGCAAGUCACAAGACCUGAUCCCUAAAGUUAUGGAGGUCUUCUGUGCAUGGUCAGGCUGCUCUGAGACACAAGCCUAUCCAGAGAACUUGAGGAUUCAUAAAGUCUACAGAGUCGUCUAUAAAAAUCUGUUGGAGGAGUUUGGCUCGGAGAAAAUCCUCCAACAGGCCGUGUCGACUCAGGACUCUUCAUUUGAUAGGAUUCUUGUCAAGUCUUUGAGUGAAGCGCUUCUCCACAGAUGUAAUGAGGCAGUGAGGGCAGCCUCAAGAACAUCAGUCAAAACCACCGGGCCUAAGGCUCUUCCACUGGCUGAGGAUGUGAGGGCUAGCAGCGGGAAACUAUCUUUUCUACAAAGGCUGGUCAGGCUGACAAGCAACUUAAAGCUAUUCAAGAAGGGGAACAAGAAGGAUUCCCACCGCUCUGAAUCAGAACAAGUACAGACCACUGCUGAAGAUGGCAUGCUGCCCAGCAUAGUGCCACAUGCUGCCAUGUCUGCACUGCCAAAGGAUCUCCCCGCCAGCUCCCAACAGGAGACGCCUCACAAACGUCCACUUCUCGUCAGGAUGUUUUUCUGCCAUCUCCAAAGGCCUUUUCAAGCCCUUCUUCACAGUCUGACUCUUCUGACACUGUGUGACAUGCCCUCUGAUCCAGUGAUCUAGGAUAUUCUGAGUGGCUUUAGGCCUGAAUCUCUGCCCCCUGCCCAAAUAAAUGUUUUCUCUUCUGAUAUAUCUGCCUCUGUCAGCAGCCAGCAGGGGAAAACAGACAGCACUGUUGAGAGCUGUGGGCACCUAGCUG
ensembl:lncRNA